GCCUUUGUGGUGUAGUGGUCAGCACACCUUGAUGUGUAACCGAGAGGUCGGUGGUUCGAUUCCCGGCGAAGGCA
rnacentral:tRNA from 1 species